ACGUCAGUUGGCUUAGUGGUUUGAACGCUUGUCUCGCACAUCCAGGGUCUGGGGUUCGAUUCCCGCCUGUGUG